rnacentral:rRNA from 1 species
UUAGUUUUUUCUUUUUUAUUUUUUAGUAUUGCAUACUAUUUGAAGAGUAUAACAUUUUGUUUAUGUUGUAUAGAAUGAGAAGGUAGAGAACUGGCGGGGGUUUAUUUGUUUCAUAAAUAAAAUUAUUAGUUUUGGUGUUGAUAUGUCGGCUUCUUUGUUAUCUGUUUAUUGUGUUUUAUUAGAAAAUUGUAGGUUUGAUUUGUAGAAUUUGGGGGUUGAGAUCUUGUAGUGUUCUUGUUUUGUGUUUUAUAACGUUUUCUUUUUUGGUGUUUAAGUUAGUUUGAGUUUUGUUAAGUUUUUAACAAAUUUAUGAUUUUAAAUUUAGUAAUUUGUUUUAAAUUUUGUUUAUUGGUUUAAUUUAUUUGUGUGAACUUGUUGUUUGGUUAAAUGUUUUUUAAAGACUUAGGUCUUUUUUAAGGCUGGCCUCUGCUCUAUGUUUUUAUAAAUGGCAGUCUUAGCGUGAGGACAUUAAGGUAGCAAAAUAAUUUGUGCUUUUAAUGGGUUCUAGUAUGAAUGGGGUUAGUAGCUGAUUUUUUACUUUUAUUUUUGUGAAUUAGGUUUGUGUUUAAGAAAUAAUAGUUGGUAUUGAACAAAGAUAAGUCUUCGGAAAUUUUUUUGUUGAAAAUUUUUUUUAUUUUUUUAAUAUGUUUUCUAGGGUAGAAUGUUUUGUAACUUUUUUUUCUAUUAAUAAGUAAUAAAAUUACUUCGGAGUUAACAGAAAAUCAUAUCUAAUUUAGUUCUUAUAAUAGUGAUAAGUUUUACAUCGAUGUUGUAUUCUAGUUCUUGGAGGGAGGAGAGGACUUUGGGUUUUAGACUGUUCUUCUUUUAAUAAACUAGACGUGAUAUUAGUUUAAUUCAUCGUGAGAUAGAAUUGUUUAUCUUGUCAAUAUUUGUAGUUUUGGUGCUGAAAGUACGAAAGGAAAUUUGUUAAGGUUUUAUAACUUUUUUGAAAGUGGUACUUUUU